UAAAACAACUAAAAAUAAGCAACAAAAAUUUAAAAAAAUAAAAAAAUAAAAAAAUUGAAAAAUUCUAUGUUAUCCCUCCGCACUUUAUUUGGCAUAUUGUCCCCAAUGUGCACCCAAAAGAGAAGAGAAUAGGCUACCCAAUUUAAGCGUUGAAUUGCCUAGAGAGUAGUUGGGUGGUCAUCAUCAUGUUGGUUUAGCUCCAUAUUGUAGUGUCACCUAAGUUGGAGGUUCCUACAAAGAAUUAACACACUGUUUUUUUUAACUUACAACUAAUCAAAACAAAAAAUAAAAAAAAAAUAAUCAAAAUUCAAAAUUAUAUAGUCCAAAAAUUAAAUUAAAGUUAAAAUUUAAAUCAGAAUCGGAUGCCAGGCAAUUCUCUGCAACGAUCAGAGGUUUCCCACAACUCGCAACUAUCUUAGUGGCCCGCUUACCUGUAAACUGGGUCGGGCUGUUUUGGCUUGGG
rnacentral:lncRNA from 1 species